rnacentral:rRNA from 1 species
UACGGGGGGUGCGAGCGUUGUCCGGAAUCACUGGGCGUAAAGGGCGCGUAGGUGGUUUGAUAAGGGUGUGGUGAAAGCCCGGGGCUCAACCCCGGGUCUGCCGUGCCGACUGUCAAACUCGAGGGCUGUAGAGGCAGACGGAAUUCCGGGUGUAGCGGUGGAAUGCGUAGAGAUCCGGAGGAAGACCGGUGGCGAAGCGGUCUGCUGGGCAGUUUCUGACACUGAUGCGCGACAGCGUGGGGAGCAAACAGG